rnacentral:rRNA from 1 species
UCGAGAAUCUUCGGCAAUGGACGAAAGUCUGACCGAGCGACGCCGCGUGCGGGAUGAAGGCCUUCGGGUUGUAAACCGCUGUCGUAGGGGAACAAAUGUACGGGGGUACUCCCCUGUAUUUGAGUGAUCCUAGGAGGAAGGAGAGGCUAAGCUCGUGCCAGCAGCCGCGGUAAGACGAGCUCUCCGAACGUUAUUCGGUAUCACUGGGCUUAAAGAGUUCGUAGGCGGUCUGGUAGGUGAGGUGUGAAAUCCCCCGGCUCAACCGGGGAACUGCGCUUCAAACCGCCGGACUUGAGGGAGACAGAGGUGGGCGGAACAGAUGGUGGAGCGGUGAAAUGCGUUGAUAUCAUCUGGAACACCGGUGGCGAAAGCGGCCCACUGGGUCUUUUCUGACGCUGAGGAACGAAAGCUAGGGUAGCGAACG